GUUUGAUCCUGGCUCAGGAUGAACGCUGGCGGUAUGCUUAACACAUGCAAGUCGAACGGUGUCUUCGGACAUAGUGGCGGACGGGUGAGUAACGCGUGAGAAUCUGGCUUUGGGUUCGGGACAACCACUGGAAACGGUGGCUAAUACCGGAUGUGCCGCAAGGUAAAAGAUAAAUUGCCUGAAGAUGAGCUCGCGUCUGAUUAGCUAGUUGGUGGGGUAAGAGCCUACCAAGGCGACGAUCAGUAGCUGGUCUGAGAGGAUGACCAGCCACACUGGGACUGAGACACGGCCCAGACUCCUACGGGAGGCAGCAGUGGGGAAUUUUCCGCAAUGGGCGAAAGCCUGACGGAGCAAUACCGCGUGAGGGAAGAAGGCUCUUGGGUUGUAAACCUCUUUUCUCAGGGAAGAACAAAAUGACGGUACCUGAGGAAUCAGCAUCGGCUAACUCCGUGCCAGCAGCCGCGGUAAUACGGAGGAUGCAAGCGUUAUCCGGAAUGAUUGGGCGUAAAGCGUCCGCAGGUGGCAAUUCAAGUCUGCUGUUAAAGGUUCUGGCUCAACCAGAAACAGGCAGUGGAAACUGAACAGCUAGAGUGCGGUAGGGGCAGAGGGAAUUCCCAGUGUAGCGGUGAAAUGCGUAGAGAUUGGGACGAACACCGGUGGCGAAAGCGCUCUGCUAGACCGUAACUGACACUCAUGGACGAAAGCUAGGGGAGCGAAUGGGAUUAGAUACCCCAGUAGUCCUAGCCGUAAACGAUGGAUAC
rnacentral:rRNA from 1 species